CAGAGUUGCAAGACUCCCUAAACCAUUGUGAACCUACCCUUCUACCGUUGCUUCGGCGGGCGGGCCCAGCGCCCCCCCGGCCCCCCGCGGGCGCCCGCCGGAGGAUACCCAAACUCUUGACAUUAGUGGCCUCUCUGAGUAUUCUUUACUGAAUAAGUCA
rnacentral:misc_RNA from 1 species